GAUGAACGCUGGCGGCGUGCCUAAUACAUGCAAGUCGAGCGAACAGACGAGGAGCUUGCUCCUUUGACGUUAGCGGCGGACGGGUGAGUAACACGUGGGUAACCUACCUAUAAGACUGGGAUAACUUCGGGAAACCGGAGCUAAUACCGGAUAAUAUUUCGAACCGCAUGGUUCGAUAGUGAAAGAUGGCUUUGCUAUCACUUAUAGAUGGACCUGCGCCGUAUUAGCUAGUUGGUAAGGUAACGGCUUACCAAGGCAACGAUACGUAGCCGACCUGAGAGGGUGAUCGGCCACACUGGAACUGAGCCACGGUCCAGACUCCUACGGGAGGCAGCAGUAGGGAAUCUUCCGCAAUGGGCGAAAGCCUGACGGAGCAACGCCGCGUGAGUGAUGAAGGUCUUCGGAUCGUAAAACUCUGUUAUUAGGGAAGAACAAACGUGUAAGUAACUGUGCACGUCUUGACGGUACCUAAUCAGAAAGCCACGGCUAACUACGUG
rnacentral:rRNA from 1 species